rnacentral:misc_RNA from 1 species
CAUGUAUUAUCGAUCACACUCCAGCCUUUUCCUGCAUACACACACACGCACACACCAUACAAAGCAAGCAACCACGUGCGCCAGCCAUCCCUGACGCGCGUACACCCCUCCCCUCCCUGCCGUCGCGUCGCACGUAGCGAAGAAGCACAGCAAGCGGAAAGCGCACAGCACAAACAAAAUGGAGCAUCCGGAGCACACCAACCAGCACCCGGAAGGGAACAACAACACCGAAGCGCCAGCGCCAGUGAAGGCGGAGGCCGCCGCUGCCGUAUCGGCACAGCAGAUCUCGCUGAAGGUCGUCAACGCCGACGGCGCGGAGAUGUUCUUCAAGAUCAAGCGAGGGACGCAGCUGAAGAAGCUGAUCGACGCGUACUGCAAGAAGCAGGGCAUCUCCCGCGGGAGCGUUCGCUUCCUCUUCGACGGCGCGCCGAUCGAUGAGAUGAAGACGCCGGAGGAUUUGGGGAUGGAGGACGACGACGUGAUUGACGCCAUGGUAGAGCAGACCGGCGGGUGCGUGGUGAGGCAGCUAUGAAGGUCGGCUUGUUUGUCUACGCGCAGCUGUGUCAAUCUCCACCAAACUCUCCCUCCUUCCCUCGCAACGUCCAUCGUGGCGCACGCGCAGCCGAAAUAGAUACACGUAACACAGAGAUUAAGCCGCGGGUCACAGAAGACAGAGGGAGGAAACAUGGGGGCGGGUGCUGAAGGAGAGGUGGCGGACGACGCGGAUAGCGUCGCCCUCGCCCCUUCCCCGACGCGCCCUGACCGGGACACCUCUCGCCCUCGCAUGCUCACCACCACCGCCCCGCCUCGCUCCCUCCUCCCCUCCCCCCGGUGGUGACGCUUGGUGCUUGGCUAAACCAGAAGAAAAGGAAGCUGUGAAGCAGGACGGCAAGGCACAGAGGUAUUCGAUGAGCAUCGGUUUUAGACAUCCGCAUAUGUGUACUCGUAUGCACGACGCGUGGUCUCUGUGCAUCUCUGUCUGUCUCUGUGUCUCUCUUUCUCUGCGUGUGUGCGUGUGCGUGUGUGUGCGGAGCCCAUGAGAGGGACCCGAGACAUUGCCGAACCGAAUACAGGUGCAUCCUUUCUUCAUCUGUAGUGGUGUUGGUGCGCCGUUUUCUUUUCUUCUUUGCCGAUGCCGUCGUUGUCCCCUCCCCCUCCCCAUCUGGAGGCUGUCUUUGUUGACGUUUCCGCGGCCUCACCACUGCACAGGUGGCGGCAGCUCCUUCUCGGCGUGUAUACGCUUGUCAGCGUGCCUCUCUGGCGAAGGGGUGUACGAGGAAGGGCAAGAAGAAGAUAGAGGCACCCACACUCCCCCCCCUCACAUUCUCUUCGCCCCUCCUCCGCCCAUCCCACCUUCCUGCGACGUCUGCCUGCGCAUCUGCGAUGGGUCUGGUGUGGCUCCGCCUUUCCUGUCUGCCUCUUCGGCACGAAGGCAACGGAAACCCCCUAAUUAUGCGGGAUCACCUCCGUGCGUCGUUUCAUACAGGGUCCAGUACCCAAAGUCGCGCUGUGGGAAGCCAAGCAGCCUGCAGCCCGCCCACCAGGUGCGUCGGUGGACAUGUCUGGGACGGCCGCUACGCCACAGAGACUUGCAGCCAUGAUCCUCGCGUUUGUGCCAGAUCACUACCAGUCAUGCCGGCGAUUCCGCUGAAAGGCAUUCUACUAUGAGAGUGCCCGACCCGGCGAUGUGCCCCAGUAUUCCACGCGCGACCCGCGGAUCGCGCGGAGCUCGAAGCACACCGCAUGGCACGCGGUGACCCUGCGCACAACGAUCUGAUUACACGCACAUCUCACUCGCGCUGCAUGGACUUCCCCCGUUGGGUGUGUGUGUAGCUGCCUCCUAUGCUCCCCCCCCCCCGAGGACAGCAUGCUGUGAGAUCUCUGUGCGCAGGCACGGGCCCCUUCCGCUUGGCACACCCACUCCUGGCAGAGGCAUGCGGAUUCAGGGGACGGUGGGAUGCCUCUGCUGCCCCAGACGACUGAUGCCCGCGUCCCACCUGUCGCGGCGCAUGCCGGCAAGCUGCCCAGGCGCGUACCCUCCCCCCCCCUGCCGUCGGUGGCAUCGAGGAAAAUGACAGAUGAAGACAACGAUCCAAGCAGACAAGGUCGUCCAAUCGGGUGGGCUGAUGAGACACAGAUGCCGAAACCACGGCACACAAGCAGAAUGUGCAGGGUUUCAGACGGCCCUGGCCUGGAGCUGGCCAGGACCCUUCUUGAGCUCAUGCGGCAUGCAUCAGGACCGUGGACGCAGCCCGCCCUGGACCCGAUGCGUGCCGUCCGCCCAAGCCUGUCUCCGGCACCGGCCGUACAGCACGCAUCGGAAGAACGGGCUAGGAAGGACAGGAAGAGCGCGUGCGACGCAUGGCCCCGAUUUGACAGGGGGACGGUUCGUCCCAGACGAGCCGGACGCGGCCGCGGCGCAGCAGAGGGCCAGGCGGAGCUGUAUGCGUGUGUAUGCAGUGCGUCUGCUUUGUUGUGAAUUGCUUGGUGGCGGCGGAGUGGACACGCUGGGGAGGGCGGGUACAAGAGUGGAAAAGCG